GACGAACGCUGGCGGCGUGCCUAAUACAUGCAAGUAGAACGCUGAAGGAGGAGCUUGCUUCUCUGGAUGAGUUGCGAACGGGUGAGUAACGCGUAGGUAACCUGCCUGAUAGCGGGGGAUAACUAUUGGAAACGAUAGCUAAUACCGCAUAAGAGUAGAUGUUGCAUGACAUUUGCUUAAAAGGUGCAAUUGCAUCACUACCAGAUGGACCUGCGUUGUAUUAGCUAGUUGGUGGGGUAACGGCUCACCAAGGCGACGAUACAUAGCCGACCUAAGAGGGUGAUCGGCCACACUGGGACUGAGACACGGCCCAGACUCCUACGGGAGGCAGCAGUAGGGAAUCUUCGGCAAUGGACGGAAGUCUGACCGAGCAACGCCGCGUGAGUGAAGAAGGUUUUCGGAUCGUAAAGCUCUGUUGUAAGAGAAGAACGAGUGUGAGAGUGGAAAGUUCACACUGUGACGGUAUCUUACCAGAAAGGGACGGCUAACUACGUG
rnacentral:rRNA from 1 species